AGAGUUUGAUCCUGGCUCAGAUUGAACGCUGGCGGCAGGCUUAACACAUGCAAGUCGAGCGGGGAGAUGUAGCUUGCUACAUUUCCUAGCGGCGGACGGGUGAGUAAUGCUUAGGAAUCUGCCUAUUAGUGGGGGACAACAUUCCGAAAGGAAUGCUAAUACCGCAUACGCCCUACGGGGGAAAGCAGGGGAUCUUCGGACCUUGCGCUAAUAGAUGAGCCUAAGUCAGAUUAGCUAGUUGGUGGGGUAAAGGCCUACCAAGGCGACGAUCUGUAGCGGGUCUGAGAGGAUGAUCCGCCACACUGGGACUGAGACACGGCCCAGACUCCUACGGGAGGCAGCAGUGGGGAAUAUUGGUCAAUGGGUGCAAGCCUGAACCA
rnacentral:rRNA from 1 species